UUUUAAACCUGAUUGACGCGAAAAUCCUUUUUUGUCACCCUGAGCGGAGUCGAAGGGCAAAAAAGAUUGGAGCAGAAAGCAGGACUAACC
rfam:Pedobacter ginsenosidimutans strain KACC 14530 contig14, whole genome shotgun sequence.